AACGUUUCGUGUACUGGGUACCAAAUGUCAUAACCAGAUUCCAUCCAUCCUCGCCUUUGCCACAUCGUUGUCAUCAGUUGCCUCCUACUUAAAGCUAUCUAUAAUAGACUUAAAAGUCACAAUCGCGAUUCAACAUAUUUCAACAACAAAUGAUGCAGAGACCAAGACGCCGUUGCGAAGGCACAGCCAUGGGCUCUAUUGUUCUCGAUCUCCGCCCUGGUUUUGGCAUCGGUCCUUUUACCCUCGGAAGUUCUAUUUCCGAAGCUUUUGCACAGAUAGAGCAGCAGCCUAACAUUUAUGAUGUUGUCCAUGUUAAGUAUUAUGAUGAGGAGCCCUUAAAACUUGACAUCGUCAUUAGCUUCCCAGAUCAUGGAUUUCAUCUGCGGUUUGAUCCCUGGUCACAGAGACUGCGCCUUAUUGAAAUAUUCGAUGUAAAACGGCUUCAGAUGCGCUAUGCCACCUCUGUAAUAGGCGGGCCGUCCACUUUAGCCACUUUCGUAGCCGUCUAUACUCUUUUUGGGCCUACCUAUCCAGGAACAUAUGACAAGGACCGAGGAGUUUACACUCUAUUUUAUCCAGGAUUGUCGUUUGCUUUUCCAAUUCCCUCCCAGUAUACAGAUUGCUGUCGUGAUGGAGGAGCGGAACUACCUCUGGAGUUUCCAGAUGGCACAACUCCAGUUACUUGCCGUGUAUCAAUAUAUGAUAGUUCUACUGGAAGUAAAGUUGGUGUUGGAUCCAUGAUGGACAAGGCCUGUACUCCUCCUCUGCCUGCUGGCAGCGUCUACAUGGAAGAAGUGCAUGUUAAGCUGGGGGAAGAAUUACGGUUUAGCAUUGGUGGCCAAUACAUCCCCUUUGGUGCAUCACCACAGGAUGUUUGGACUGAAUUAGGUCGACCAUGCGGAAUCCAUCAGAAACAGGUUGAUCAAAUGGUGAUCCAUUCUGCUUCAGAUCCCCGGCCGAGGACAACUCUUUGUGGUGAUUACUUCUACAACUACUUUACUCGUGGCUUAGAUAUACUAUUUGAUGGGCAGACACAUAAAAUCAAGAAAUUUGUCUUGCACACCAACUAUCCAGGGCAUGCUGAUUUUAAUUCAUACAUGAAGUGCAAUUUUGUUAUCCAUUGUUCUGAUUUUGUAGGCUCGUAUCAUCAGGAUUUGAACUCCUCUAAAGCUACUAUUACAGCCAGCACAAAAUGGGAACAAGUUAAGGAGAUACUAGGCGAUUGCGGUCGAGCUGCUAUCCAAACGCAAGGCUCUACGAGCAAUCCGUUUGGAUCUACCUUUGUAUAUGGCUACCAAAAUCUUGCCUUUGAGGUGAUGAAGAAUGGUUACAUUGCGACUGUAACUCUCUUCCAGUCCUGAUGAUCUAUAUGGGGUGGGUGUAAGAUGUCCUUGCUGGAGUGGUUGCCGUUUAAGGAGUGUCCGUUCUCUAGGAGUGUUGGAUAUCUUCUCCAUUUACAAUGUGGAACAUGAGAUGUUGAUAUCUGAUGCUCUCUAUAUAUGAUAUUGACAUCAAGUGGACCUAUAUUUAUUUACCAGCUGCCUGUUGGUGUAUUGUACAGUUCAGUUACUCGAAGAAAGCAGGUCUGCUUUUAACUGACCGUCAUGGUGGAAUUGUAAACCAUGUACAUUUGUUCAUAAUUGUACAGUUUAUUUUGUAAUUGACGUCUCUUGUAAACUUAAAUACAUUGCUCCCAGCUUCUUGUAAUACAAUACUCGUUGCCUGGUUCCUCAGUUAGGCGAAGUUUGGUGGCAUGUGAUUUGAUAAGCAUUGUGCGGGCA